rnacentral:rRNA from 1 species
UACCAGCUCUUCGAGUGGUGUGGAUGUUUAUUGGGCCUAAAGCAUCCGUAGCUGGCUGGGCAAGUCCUCUGUUAAAUCCACCGAUUUAAUCGUUGGAGUGCGGGGGAUACUGUUCGGCUAGGGGACGGGAGAGGCAGACGGUAUUUUCGGGGUAGGGGUGAAAUCCUAUAAUCCCGAGAAGACCACCAGUGGCGAAGGCUGUCUGCUAGAACGCGCCCGACGGUGAGGGAUGAAAGCUGGGGGAGCGGACCGGAUUAGAUACCCGGGUAGUCCCAGCUGUAAACGAUGCAGGCUAGGUGUUUGGACGGCCACGUGCCGUUCUAGUGCCGCAGGGAAGCCGUUAAGCCUGCCGCCUGGGGAGUACGGCCGCAAGGCUGAAACUUAAAGGAAUUGGCGGGGGAGCACCACAAGGGGUGAAGCUUGCGGUUU